rnacentral:other from 3 species
UCAUCUCUGAGGUGCACGCCAGCCGGUCUGACUCCCCUGAGCCGUGAAUUAUUUCCUAAUUGGAAAGCGUUUCUAAAUAUUUAGCGUGUAUGCCUAUCCUGAGUAGGAAACCCAGAAAAUAUAUAGCGCUCUCCACCUUGAACCUUAGUGUUCAAGGGUAAAGACAUGCAGCGGCAUUUUGGAGACCCA